rnacentral:tRNA from 1 species
UCAAAGAAAGGAGAUUCUAACUCCUACCCCUGACUCCCAAAGCUAGGAUUCUAAACUAAACUACUCUUUG